rnacentral:misc_RNA from 1 species
UUUUAGCCCCGAUCGCAGCAAAUGUUUGAGCUCAUUUUUAGUGAUUUUGCAGCGGCGGCAAAGCCGCCGCUGCAAAAUCACUAAAAAUAGCGAGUGCGGAGAGCGGGAUUAAGU